UCUGGAUUCAUUACCAUUGCCUUGCAAGAUAAUAUAGAUAAUUGAGACAGAGUUUGAGAAACAUUAUUAUGAAUCUCAAUUUUGACAAGAAAAUGUUCUUCCAUCUGAUUAAGGAAUGUAUUUAAGUUUAAAUUUGUAUUCGACAGGAACUUUUGACUACUGAAAUCAAAUUUAAAAAAAUUAAUUUAAAACAAGCGUGCAUUUUGCUGUCUUGUUAAAUCAAUAUAAGAAGAUUAUCAUCUGAUAUAUUAUGUUACAACUUAUAUACCUACUAAUUGCGACUUCAAAUAAUUUUCUUUUUUAAUAAUAUCUCGAGAGAAGAUGUAGAAUGACAUAAAACCGUUUCGUCGCAGUCUUAAGCUCAUGCAAAAUCUUGAAAUCUACGGAAUAACAUUUAAUUUUAAACUUCAAAACGCGAUUAUCAGCGUUAAAGCGUGUUAGAAAUAAGGAAACUGACACGACAAAAAUAAUUUCAGUUUCGCGAAGACGUUUAAUCAGUUGUGCAUAAAAUAGCGUUAUCCCAAUUAAAGUCGUCGCGGAAGAGAAUAUACGAGAAGGCAAUCAACGGUCUCACCACUUUGCGCUCGCGCAUACCGAGACGAGCGAGUCAUCUCGCCCUUACCGCUUUAUGCAUAAAUGCGAAUAAAUUACGUGUCCGCUCCUCUUUGGCGUCGAAUUGCUUACGGCCAGAUCCUGUGCACCAAAGUUCGGUGUCGAGUGCAGCUCGACAUUCGACCGUGAAGGAUUAAUAUAAAGUCUCGUCUUGUCUCUCGUCCACGUUGACGCUCCUCUAUUCCGUAUUUGAAGAUGCAUUCUUGUAUAAUGCAGCGAGAAAGAGCUGCUCGAAUGGACAAACGAAACACUAUACCGGCCACUCUUUAUACGAACAAGUAAUUAAAUGCGUGCAAAUUAAUGCAACGAAACGUAUCUGCGUCGACGGAAUUUAGCGUUGCGUUGCGUCGAUACAUAAGCUGUUCAAUUAACUUCGUAAUUGUUUGAAUAGGAAGGGUAAGCAAACUUUUUCUCAGCGUGCAAAGAUGUUUGUUUGCGCGGCACGAGCGAAUGGUUUCGCUGCAAAAGCAAACAGAGCAAACACGGAGUGAAACAUGUGGAUGCAGCGGCGCAAAGGUGCGUUUGAAAUGUACAAGCGUGAGCGAGCAAGAUGGAUAUGCUGUAAAGGUGCGCUUAUAUCGUAAAAGCGCGAUUAAACCGACGUAUUCGCGUUUGUACUGCGCUACGUAAACAAGAGAGCGAACGAGUAUCGGCGUACAUAUAUAUACGCGAAUUGAUUCGCCAUAAACGUGCGUUUGCGGCAUUCGAGAGCGCCGAGUGCCCGAGUGAUUCCGCUGGAAAGGCAUGUUACGCGAGCACGAAACGAUGGAGCUGAUUCGCUGUGACACGGUAGAAAACGAACGUAUCCAUUCGUUCGCGUUCAUCCCGGCGGCGGCGUACGGGCAAACAGGCAAUCGUCAAAGAAGAUACGCGCGUGGCACGAAUGUCGAUCCCGAAACCGUGUAAAGGAACCCACCCGCUCAAUACGGAAUCUAAACAUCGGAUUCCGAUGUGAAUUAAAUGGCUCCAUCAACAACGAACGAGCUCGGGAAUAUUGCACGGGGAUCUGGUUCACUGACGCAGGAGAAAUUCAUCUGCAGUAGUGUAAACGUUUCUAUUGCGAGCACGAGGAACAGCUGGUGCUUGCGUAAAGUGUAAACGCACCUUAAGGCCACGGUUAUACUGGAUGCACGUCCCGACCGAAACUCAUCCGGACGAAUUCAUAUACCAGACGUCGGAACUAAUCAAAUACCUACGGUGAAUCAAGUCGAGAUGACUUUGGACUACCUCCGAACUACCGUUCCUCCCCUGCGACUACGAAUUGCGUUUUUAAAGAGAUCGUUGUUGACGGCGAUUCUUUGUUGUUGUCCAAAUUAAAAUUAUUGCAUCGUAAGCACUCGCAAAAUUUACCGCAAAUUACGCGUUUUUGUUCAGAACUUAUCAUCCUCCAUUAUUAGGUUAUAUAUACGUAUAUAAUGUUCGUACAUAUUAUAAUAUAUCCACGGUAUUUAACGGGAAAUGCGAAGUUUCGGGACACUCCGUAUAACGCGAGAUCUGAUCACGUAGCGUGUAAUUACCUCCACUUAUCUCAACACAUUUAAUUAGUUCUGAUCGGCAAAUUCCUAUGCGGGUUCACUAUACCAUAAUCCGCAGUGUACUAAUAUACAACUAUAAUCCGUAUAAAGCUACCUUUAUUAUUUAGAAUGCCAUCCUAAAUCCAUUUAAGGUGAUGAUAUUCCGAAAUAUAUAAUUAAGAAGAUUAAUAUUGGGGAAAUAAGAGUUAAGAUCAUUAAUUAAAUAUGUUGAAAUUAAUAAAAGUAAUAUAAAUAUCUCGGCGUGCAA